AGAGUUUGAUCAUGGCUCAGGGUUAACGCUGGCGGCGUGCCUAAUACAUGCAAGUCGAACGCGAAAGGCUUGAAGCCUUCGGGCGGAGGGCCGAGUAGAGUGGCGAACGGGUGAGGAACACGUAGGUGACCUGCCCCGGAGAGGGGGAUAACCGUCGGAAACGGCGGCUAAUACCCCAUAAGCUCACGAGGGUUAGAGGCUUUGUGAGAAAAGCUCCGGCGCUCCGGGAGGGGCCUGCGGCCCAUCAGCUAGUUGGUAGGGUAAAGGCCUACCAAGGCGAAGACGGGUAGGGGGCCUGAGAGGGUGGUCCCCCACAUGGGAACUGAGACACGGUCCCAACUCCUACGGGAGGCAGCAGUAAGGAAUAUUGCACAAUGGGCGCAAGCCUGAUGCAGCAACGCCGCGUGCCCGAGGACGGCCUUCGGGUUGUAAAGGGCUUUUCUGGCUGACGAGGAAGGACGGUAGGCCAGGAAUAAGCGUCGGCUAACUACGUGCCAGCAGCCGCGGUAAU
rnacentral:rRNA from 1 species